UUGCCCCUGGGGUGUACGAUACGGACGCACGCACUCCGACCGACAAUGUUUGUUUAGGGAGCCCACAUCCGGUCGCACCGCAGUAGGCGAAAGCCGCUGCGGGACGGAGCGACCGGAAACCAAGCACCCACCUGGUUAUCCGGGUUCGAGUGACACGUUCGAACGGCACCACCGGGGGCACG
rnacentral:other from 1 species